UACGGGGGGGGCAAGCGUUGUUCGGAAUUACUGGGCGUAAAGGGCGCGUAGGCGGGAUGGCAAGUCGGUCGUGAAAGACCUCGGCUCAACUGAGGAGUGUCGAUCGAUACUGCCGUUCUUGAGGAUUGCAGAGGAGACUGGAAUUCCCGGUGUAGCGGUGAAAUGCGUAGAGAUCAUGAGGAAGACCAGUGGCGAAGGCGGGUCUCUGGACAGUUCCUGACACUGAGGCACGAAGGCCAGGGGAGCAAACGGG
rnacentral:rRNA from 1 species